rnacentral:other from 1 species
UUCUCUGCUGUGUUUGUGUUGUCCUUACAAUCUUUGAACCUAUAAGCUACAGACCGGGAGCCGAACGCGGAUACUGUUGUGCAAGCCCACCUCGAAGUGGGAAGCCUGAUGUGUCCCCCAGGCACCCUCCUACUUCGCCUGGUUCAAGGCGGAGGGGCAACACGGCACAAGUGGAGGAU